rnacentral:rRNA from 1 species
GACGAACGCUGGCGGCGUGCUUAACACAUGCAAGUCGAACGAAGUGGGAACGGGUGAGUAAUACGUGGGUAACCUCCCUCCUUUUUGGGAUCAGCCUUGGCAACGGGGUCUAAACCGAAUAGAUGGGCUCGCGGCCUAACAGCUUGUUGGUGGGGUGGUGGCCUACCAGGGCGGUGACGGGUAGCCGGCCUGCGAGGGUGAACGGCAACAUGGGGACUGAGAGCCGGGCGAGACUCCUACGGGAGGCAGCAGUGGGGAAGCUGCCGCAAUGGACGAAAGUCUGACGGAGCAACGCCGCGUGAGUGAUGACGGCCUUCGGGUUGUAAAGCUCUGUUAAUCGGGACGCGGUACCGGAAUAGAAAGCCACGGCUAACUACGUGCCAGCAGCCGCGGUAAUAC